CAAUAGCGUAUAUUAAAGUUGUUGCGGUUAAAACGCUCGUAGUUGGGUUUCUGUCAGGAACAACUGGUCUGUCCCGAGUGUCGAGCACUAGUUCGGCUCCUGGCAUCUUCUUGGGGAACGGGUGCGUACUUCACUGUAUGGCCUGGAAACCUUGACGUUUACUUUGAGGAAAUGAGAGUGCUUCAAGCGGGUGUCCGCCACGAAUACGUUAGCAUGGAAUAAUAGUAUUGGACCUCGGAUCAUAGCUGUUGGUUGCUGGAAUCGGGUGAGGGUAAACAGGGACAGUUGGGGCGAUUCGUAUUUAACUGUCAGAGGUGAAAUUCUUGGAUUUAUGAAAGACGAACUAGUGCGAAAGCAUUUGCCAAGGAUGUUUUCAUUAAUCAAGAACGAAAGUUAGGGGUUCGAAGACGAUUAGAUACC
rnacentral:rRNA from 1 species